UGGAUGGCUCCCAACCUUCUCCCCUUUGCAUUUCCACUUGCACAUUCCAGCCCCAGAACUAGUUCGUCUCUGAAAGCUGAAACUCAGAAACACAUCAUCUCUGAGGCUUCGCUGGUGGUCCAGUGAUUAAGAAUCUGCUUUCUAGUGCAGAGACUGGAUGUGGGUUUGAUCCCUGGUCUAGGAACUAGAUCCCACAUGCUGCAGGGCAGCUAAGCCUAGAUGCCGACUAUUUAGUCCGCUCGGUCUCGAGCCUGUGCUCCACAACUAGACAAGCCCCUGUGCCGCAACAAAGACCCUGCACAGCCAAAGGAAAAAACAACCCGUGGUCUAGCCAACAGCUCUGCCCUUCCUUCCCCCAGAUGUGCCACCUACCAGCCUCAGCAAGACCUGGACUUCCCCCACCCAUCACUCUCUCAAGUUCAUCAGCACUCCUGUCUCUACCUCCUGACCAAGACUUCGAACCACAUUCUCAGCAGCAGCCCAGGCCCUUCUACACUUUGCAUGAAUCCAAGCAUGACUCUCCCUCUGCUUGCCCCCGGCUGCCACUCUGCUGGAGGGAAAAAAAAAUUCUAAGUUCUGCUGACUGGACAGGUGUUUGAUUUCUGGGUUCAGUGGGGCCUUUGCUGCUAUGAAAGUGGGGUGGCGGGUACUGAAGGGUUUGGUAACCCUCCUUUGGGUGAAAGCUGGAGUGGGGUCUUCCCUGGAGGAGUGGCCAGUCUCAGUGUCCAUCAGGGAAGAAAACGGCUGCCCUACCUCCCAACCUGCCCCCUGGGAUGGAUGCAGACCAACGCUGACAAGUGUCAAGGGAGGCCAGGAAUGCUGAUUCAAAAGGAGCAAUUUGAGCUCACAAGUCAUUUCCCCCAAAGGUCAAUUAGACCCACGAGAUUUCUCCGGCACACACAGGAAGUCUCAGCCUCAUCUAUAUUUAAUGCACUUCCCUUCUCACUGGUCCCCAAAAAGCUUCCCAGCGUGACCCGAGGUCUGAGGUCCUGUCCAGGUGAAAGAGACUCCACAGAGGAGACAUCUAGAGAGAGCAAAGGCACCUGUGAGGUUCUGAUGUUCACACACAACAGACUGGCGGGCCCACGGUUAGGAGGGAUUUUCCUGAUGUUGAACGGCCCCAGUCCCUCUGUGAAGGGUCUCCCUCCAGCCCUAGGUCUCCAACUGCUGCAGAACCAGACCUCAGGACCUUCUGUCAUGUCACCAACAGCCCAGUCGUGGCCCCUCUGCUGAAGCUCAGACAAUCACGACUUUCCCCUCCCAUCUUCUCCUUCUCCCUCUAAGUACUUGAAGAGCAUACAGGGUGUCAGAAGAGGGGAUGAUACACGAACUUCUGAAUAAUUCUGCUUGUAUCAGUGCAUAGGCCUGGCCACCAUCAGCCCCUGGAGGCUUUCCCAGGAAGAUUAAUGAUGAUCCGAAAUCAGACGGAAACACACCAAGGCCAAAGAGCGGUGAAUCAAACCCCCGAUGAACACACACUCGGAAGGCUCGGCCUUGGCCAGUACAUCAAACAGCCGUCAGAGCUGUGAGACACGUAAGAAAACUGGAGAGGAAGGGGUGGAGGGUGGCUGGCCGCGCCCAUUGGUGGAAAAGGCUUUAUUCCCAUCAUCUCAAACGAAACGGAAAGGCCCACGGGGAAGAAGCUGAGAGCAUUAUUUAUCAAGCUGUUGACAGCCCAGGACCCUUCAUUCUGGGUUCUACAGAAUUCUGUCAAACACUAAAUGGAAUCACAUUCACAGUCGUUGCCUGGGAUGGAUACCCUGAUAAACGGACUCUGAGAUGGAGAUUAGUGCGCAGGGGGUAUAUAUCAGGAGUAUUAUUGGGAUUGACACCCGUAGAAAGGAAGGAAAGUAGCCGGCCCAGGCAGAGGAAGGGAUUGGGCUGAGCUUGUAGUCACAACCGAGGCCCCAGCCAGCCCCACGGGGAACUCCGCACUGCAGGUGCCCCGCAGAGCUGGCAGGGUGGGCACACAGGGAGGCCAGGCCCUGCGCCCUCCCACCGACCACUCCCAGAUGGUGUCUGCCCCGGAAAGAGGGCAUGGCCUUGGGGGAGGCCGCUCCGCACAGCCAAGUGAGGUUCUGACAGGGGCUGCAGGCUGUCUGCUGACCGUACUCCCAGCAACUGAGAAAAUGGGUCCUUAACCCCGAAGGCAGAUCUGGGUGCUGUGCAACGUCACCCACUCCGUUUCUUUAUCAACAUUUGCUGAGCAUCAGCUGUGUGUUAGGCAUUUGGCUCGGGACCGUGGGAACAGGACUAGAGAUGAGAUAUAUAUAUGAUGCUAGUCCUUGAGGAUUUUCCGAUAUCCAGAAUAAGAAAUCUUCACUCCAUAUCAAGAGCAAACCCAAAGCCUUUGAUUUAAAAAGCACUAGGAGUCAGUUUGUUUUUGUUUGGCUUCAAAGCCAAUUUGUUUUCCCUUUCUCUAUUUUGGAGGGGAGCUUCAAGAGUUCCUUUAGGAAGGAUAUAAAUCUGUGUCCCUUGGAACUCAUUUAGAUGGCUUGACUUUUUAUUGAGAUCAAAGAAUCAUGGAAUUUUAGACUUCAAAAAGACAUUAGGGAUUAUAUGGUAUAACCUGUCUCCCAAAGUUGGAGAUGUCCUUACUGCAGCAUCUCUGACAGGUGGUAAUGUGGCUUGACUUGCAUACCUCCAAGGACAGAGAACUCACCACCUAAAGAGGAACCCCUUUCCAUUGUCGGAUAGCUUCCACUGUUACUCACGACCUCCACCCACUGAUCCCAGUUCUGCUGUCUUGAGCAAUGCCAGAUGCCAUAGUCCUUCAGGGAUCAGAAGACAUCUGCUCAUCUUAUCAUCUCCUCCAGGUUAAACAUGCUCACUUUUGGCUGUACCUCAUAGGAUUUUAUCUUUUAAGUAUCUUCCUAGUAUUUCUCCUGUGUCCUUUCCUCUAUUACUCCUGGACUUAGUUCAGAUCUUAGCCUUAUGCUGUAUGUUGCCUCCAACAGGCUCUCCACUGCCCUCCCCAAAACCAUGAUAUUAAAGGCCAGAAUCAUCUUUUUAAAACACAAACCUGGGACAUCCCUGGUGGUCCAGUGGUUAAGAACCUGCCUGCCAAUGCAGAAGACACAGGUUCGACCCCUGCUCCGGGAAGAUCACACAUGCCUUGGAGCAACUUAGCCCAGGCACCACAGCUACUGAAGCCCACUCACCCUAGAGCCUGCGCUCUGCAACGGAGGAAGCCUCACAAUGAGACGCCCACACAGUGAGGAGCAGCCCCUGCUCACCACACUAGGGAGAGACUACGCAACAGUGAAGACUCCGUGCAGACAGAAAUAAAUAAAAAGAUGAAAAAAGAAAACCCCACAUGUCUGCUGGUCACUCUCCACCUCCCCCCCUGCACUGCCAUUUGUCUGAAUCCAAGACCCCAACCCCUAACAGCACAGAAGACCUUUCAAGGUGGGCUCCUGCCUAAGCUUUGGGCCUGAACUCCCGCCACAUCUAACGUGCACGCUAUGCUCAAAACAUCCUCCCGUCUUCAUCCACAUCGUCCCCUCUCUCUGCUCCGCCUGUUCUGUCUUUCCCGUGAACUCCUAUUUAAUCUCAAAAUCCAGUUGAAAGCUCAGCUCCUCCAUGAAGGGAAUGCAGAGUUGUUCCCUUCUCUGCUUCUGCAGACCUUCCCAGCCCUCUCCUUCACCAUUCACCACCUUGUUCAGCAAUUACCAGUGAUUAUCAGCAAUUAUCAAUAAUUAUCAACAAUUAUCUAAUUACCAAUUAGAAUGUAAGCCUUUGAGGGCCAAGAAUUCUGUGUUACUCUUGCCAUAUGAUAACUGCAUACAUAAGUAAAUAAACGAAUGAGUAAAAAGUAAAAGGAUAUAAAAUACUUUUUCAGAACCUUCAUCUGCAUAAUAACUCCCCUCUGAAUUGUUAUGUUUCUCUUAAGAUCUCUUAAGGACAUCUUCGAUGCGGGGAGCCGGCCUGACUGCUCAGGCCCCUUCUCGGCCCUGAGAGAGAUCAAAAGGUCCCUCUCUGUCCCGCCACCCCUGAUUUGUUAAAGUGCAAAUUGGCCUUUCUCACCUCCCUCAAGGAAAUCGCUGCAGCCACCAUUUGCCUAUUUUCCUGACUCUGAUAAGAUUAUCGGGCUCCUGUGAAUGGCUUAUGUCUAGGUAGUCUUUACCUGAUUGUAAGAUGCUGGUGCCAUGCUCUGCUGGAGUUAAGAUAAACUCCUAAAACUAGUAUCUGCAGUUCUGCACGUAUACAAGUCUUUGAUCUAAAAUUUGGUGAAUCCUGUUAGUAUAUAUAUGUAUGUUACGCCUCAAUAAAGUCGUCGGAAUCAGUCAGAAGCUGACUCCGUCCCUCUCAACCCCAUCUUUCUUAGUCUUUUAUUUCUCAGGUGCACUGGUGAUUGCGUCCUUGACCUGUUCAUCUAGCCGGCAGGCCCGGCAAUCUUCACUCUUUGAGUGUACAAUACAUUUUUGAACCUGA
ensembl:lncRNA